CUACGCAGGCCCGACCGGCCAAUAGGCAAUUAGUUAUCGUUACAAUACACGCAUGUGGCAGUCACGGCCGUGUUUCUAUGCUAUGUGGCAUGCGCUGUUCGUAGUUCGUUCUCCUUGUCGUCCAUCUUGAAAUAGUUUCGUAAGCUGUGUGUGUUUACUGUGUUUGUUUUGUCUGGAGGAAAUUAAUUGUACUUUGUCAUGAGUGAUUGAAAUGUAUUCUGUUUCAACAUAGUGAUGGACAUGUUUAAACAUCUGCUUAAAAACAAAAUGACAUAACCGAUUUUGAAGAAAGCUCUCCACUUUCAAGUCUACUGAUAUGAUGAAAAAGAUAUUUGAGGCCGUAGUGCUGAUGUGGGUACAUCUGAUUGAAGCAAUCUAAAAAUGUAGGAAUAGACCAUUAUAUUUAUUUAAAGAGGUGUGCUCAAUGUAUAUACCUGAAUGUUGAAAACUACUAUUUUAUUAUUUUCUGAAUAAAUUGGUUUGAGACCUAAA